rnacentral:rRNA from 1 species
UACAGGAAACUGGGGCUAAUACCGGAUAGGAGCUCCUGCUGCAUGGUGGGGGUUGGAAAGUUUCGGCGGUUGGGGAUGGACUCGCGGCUUAUCAGCUUGUUGGUGGGGUAGUGGCUUACCAAGGCUUUGACGGGUAGCCGGCCUGAGAGGGUGACCGGCCACAUUGGGACUGAGAUACGGCCCAG